rnacentral:rRNA from 1 species
GCUCAGAACGAACGCUGGCGGCAUGCCUAACACAUGCAAGUCGAACGCGUGGAGCGAUCUGCGCGUGGCGCACGGGUGAGUAACGCGUGGGAACCUGCCCUUGAGUGGGGGAUAACCCGGCGAAAGCCGGGCUAAUACCGCAUACGCCCGCGGAUGAAAGUCCGUGGGGAAAGAUUUAUCGCUCGAGGAGGGGCCCGCGUGGGAUUAGCUAGUUGGUGAGGUAACGGCUCACCAAGGCGAUGAUCCCUAGCUGGUCUGAGAGGAUGAUCAGCCACACUGGGACUGAGACACGGCCCAGACUCCUACGGGAGGCAGCAGUGGGGAAUAUUGGACAAUGGGGGCAACCCUGAUCCAGCAAUGCCGCGUGAGUGAUGAAGGCCUUAGGGUUGUAAAGCUCUUUCGCCCGCGACGAUUAUGACGGUAGCGGGAGAAGAAGCCCCGGCUAACUUCGUGCCAGCAGCCGCGGUGAUACGAACGGGGCGAGCGUUGUUCGGAAUUACUGGGCGUAAAGGGCGCGCAGGCGGCGCAUGAAGUCAGGUGUGACAGCCCCGGGCUCAACCUGGGAAUUGCACUUGAUACUCGUGUGCUGGAGUGCGGGAGAAGAGAGUUGAAUUCCCAGUGUAAAGGUGAAAUUCGUAGAUCCUGUGAAGAACACCCCUGCCUAAAGCUGCUCUCUGGACCGUAACUGACGCUCACGCACGAAAGCGUGCUCAGCAAACUUGAUUAGAUACCCUGGUAAUCCACGCUGUAAACGAUGUGCGCUAGA